UGUAGCUUCCUGUCGCGGUGCGAAGGGGGAGGCGGGGUUUCGGAGGGUCGCGCGUGGUGUUCGUUGAGCCAGUUACUGUAUGCCGAGGUGCUCGGGUUUCGAUCUUAUCUGUGACUGUGAGGUGUCACACUGUGGUGUUUUGUCGCGUUGGGCUCCUACCUGCGUUUCGCUGCUACUUUCCUCCUCCAUCUCUCUUGCUCGGCCAAAGCAGCGGCGGCGGCGCGUGGGAUCGGGAGGCCGUGCCGAGCGCCACAGCAGCGGGUGGAUGGCAGGUGCCAGGUCGCAUCGACCUCAAGACGGAGGGUGCCGAGGCGGAGCGCCGCUGCUACCGCCGGCCCUCCGCUACUCCGCCUCGCCGUGGUGGCCGUUGACACCAACCCCUUCUUCUGGCCGGCGCCGCGCCCCCCUUGGCGAUGAGGCCGCUACCACCAGUGAAAUUUCAUGGAUUUUAUGCUAACUUGCGCGUGUGUGCAGGUAGUUGAGCCUGCACCAUAGGGAGGACUCCAAUUUCUGCCUGUUCAUGCCUCUCUACGACCUCCUCGGCGGAACCCUCAACACCAACCCUUGGGAGCUAUAGAAAGAGACUUGCCUAGGUGCGGCUGAUUCACUUCGUGAAAUGGCUCAUGCUACAUCUGAAUCUGGUAUGCUAGCUUAGCUGUAACAGCUACUCAUUUCAGUUGAAAUGUGUACAUAAGUUGUCAAUCCUGUCAGCCUUCUAGAGAUGUCUAUAUCAUGUAUGAGGUUCACACAAUCCCUGCAUGUUGAUCUGCCGGUUAGUACAUGGAAAACCAACUUCUGCUCCUUAAUUAUAUGAUUUCACUAACAGUCCAUCCCUGAUUCCAGUGUUUCUGUACUUACACAUGCAGCCACCUUUAUGUAUCUUCUCCUUUCCUCACCAUAACAGUUAAUUAAUGUCUGUUCUUGUCAACUUUAAGAGUCGUGUUAAAGUUAUUCAUGUAGCAGCAGCUUUUUAAAUGAAGAUUGAGGCCACACCUGAUGGACCUAUAGGUAAAUGUCUAUAGAUUUAUUUACUUGCUUACCUUUUUAACAGGAUUUCAUCAAUUUGCAGUCUAAUCUCCUGUACAUGGCAAUACAUUCUGCAAUAUUCUUUCAGAACUGGAAAAAGAUCUAAGUAAAACACGUAGCUGCCAAUCAAUGUCCAGUUCAUGAAUUCAAUUGGUUUAAGGAUUGAUGUGGCAAUUGAUUCCUAGGAGAUUAUAUUUGUGAAGGUACGGUACAAUCAAAAACUAGGUGUUCUGCUUGCCAUUCCUGUGCGAAGCUUUAUUUCUUCUCCACUGGAAGUUUGUCUCCGACUGUAAUUGUGUCUUAUGGGUGGCAGGUUUACGGUACCUACAUCAUGAGCUUGUAAAUGGUCAGUUCUUUUGUUGACUCGGUUAUGUUCUGGACCCAUCUCCGGAGCCAAACGAUUUUCAUCCUUUUGCCGAGGCAUCUAUUCUUCAGGUAAAAUGGAAUCUGCUAAUGCAUUAUCUAUGCUGGCUUAUUUACAAAUAUAUUGAGCUAAUUUGGGUCAUAUUUCUAUGCCACAUCUUUUUUCUACAAGAGUUAUGAGGUGAGCUCUGUUGUUCAAAAGUUCCUUUGAUGAGCUAAUUUGGGUCAUUUUUCCCUGCCACAUCUUUUUUCGGCAGGAGAAUUCUGCUGUGAGCUCUGUAACUAACGUUAAUUCUAAAUUUUGUAAGAUGACCACAGAUUCACUUAAAUGGUUGAACCCUGUUUUUGAUGAUAAUGGUGACUUGGUCUUUUGCAAAUGGUUGGCUCAGCAGCUGGUAAUGUGGGUUACUCUUUCCGCAUCAAAGUUCUCCGCGUUUACUGCAUUAUCUUCACAAUUCACUAUCAAUGUGAUUCACUCACUUCGGGCAUUUUCAUUUUAUCCAGGUCCAGUUUUUAUUCAGAAUAUUUUUUUGUACUUCUCAUGUUUAUUUUAAUUGAUAUCCCUCCUAGAGUCUAUGGUAUUACUAUGCACAUCCUUGGUUUUAUGUUGCUAUCAUGUGCUGGUUUAAAUUCUGAGGUUUUAUAUUAUGUUAGAUGAUGAUAGAACAUUUUACACAUGUCUUAUGACUCAUCUUAGUAUCUUGCAGAAGAAAUUGUCAUAAACACUUCAAUAACUAUUACAUUCCCUGCAAAAUAAUUGUUUCAGUUAUAAAAAAAAUCAUUGACUUGUUUAUCUGGUUUUCAGCAAAUUCUCUGUAUGUCGGUUGAUCUUCAACAAUUUGGUGCAGAUUUCUGUUACGAUAAUAAUUGACCUUUACAUGUUACUCCUAAGCUCCUCAGAUGUUGUGGACGCACACGCAUUGUCACUAUGUCACAACAUAAAUUGUUUACUGUCUGUUGUCGAAUCACGGCCAUGAUGAAUGUUUGUUUCCUGUCCAAGUGGUAGUUUUGCUGAUGUUUCAUCUUGUCCUUGAAUACUUUUUUGCUUGCAGGUAGCGGUCAAACAUUUGAAGAUGUUCAUGGUGAUUAGUGCAGUCUUGAGUGUUUCUACAUAGAAGUUUUGGAUGCCUUUGUGGAUAACCUUAACUACAAAGCGAUCUUAGCAGCCCCUGCAAAUAACGCCUCCUAUAUUAAGGACAAUCUAUCCGCCAAGGGACAUAAGAUGGCUUGAUGGCUUUAAAUUGCUCCUUGAGACCUUCAUAUAGGUGGUCUGGAUCUGGGUCUAGAUAGUAGAGGGCCUGUUCUGUAGAGUGUAGGAUUUGGUGAGUAUAUUAUAGACAAAUGAAUUGAAUUCUGGCAUUAUUAGUACUCUUAACUUUUUGUUGGCUCAUAAGUUUGGUGUAAUUUAGUGAUGUGCAUAUUCCAUCCUAGCCACGUCCGUUCCAGUCUUCAUUUUUCUACCAGUUUUUGAAGAUGCAGCCCCGUGUGCAAUGAAACUGGAUGUUGACCUCUUAACAAUUUUGUUAAGUUUCUUUUCCUGAUUAUGAUUACUGGGCAGCUGAAGAAUGAUGAAAAAGGUCACCAUACCCUGCUUCCACCUCAAGUGCAAUUGAACUGAAGGGAUGUGAUGCAUCUCUAAAUGUUAAGCUGCAGCUACCAUGUAAACAAGGCGAUCAAGACACACGAGACAGGUCUUGCGACUGUUCUUAAUCUUAGUAAACCAGACAGCUUUCCAUCUGGAAUGACAGACGAAAGUGUAUAUAUCCCAUUGAAGGGCUAUUGAUGUCAACAGACUUCGCAAAAGAAGGAUUAGCUCUUGCUUGCUAUUUUGUAAAAUGAUUAGCACUGUAUACAUUUAUUCAUCGGUUAUGUUUAUAUAUAAAAACAUGCAUUAUACGCACUAUCUCUUAUA